rnacentral:misc_RNA from 1 species
GAAAUGCGAUAAGUAGUGUGAAUUGCAGAAUUCAGUGAAUCAUCGAAUCUUUGAACGCACAUUGCGCCCCUCGGUAUUCCGUGGGGCAUGCUUAUUUGAGCGUCAUUUAACCCCUCAAGCCUAGCUUGGUGUUGGGCGUCUGUCUCGCCUUGGUGCGUAGACUCGCCUUGAAACUAUUGGCAGCCAGUACGUAGGCUUCAAGCGCAGCAGAUUUGCGUCUUGGGUCUAUGGGCUGGUGCUCCAGUAAGCCUCUUCUAUCUUGACCUCAGAUUAAGUAGGGAUACCCGCUGAACUUAA